GUCCCGAGUUUGAUCCCUGGUACCAAAAAAAACGAAGACCUAGAUUUUAUUCUUUGCCUCCAACAGUCAAUAGGAUUCAAAAAGAGAGAAAACUAUAGUGAAUUAUCACCUGAGAAUGCCAGCCUUCAUUUGAGGCACCCCAGAUGGACCCCAGAUGUCCAUUCCAAGCUCAGUUGUUCCUAGGUGGCUCGUUAUGGCCCUAGUCAUCUUUUCCAAGAAAGAAUUGGGAUAGUCUGGCACUAAAUUGUGGCCUUGAAUCUCCAAAGAUCUGAAAGGAAAGAGGGUUUGCUUAAAAGCUGUAGAAAACCUGCAGAAGGCCUGACUGCCAGUGUCCUGGGCCCGUGGCAGCCUAGAGCCUGACCAAAGCUGUAGAAACAGCACUGCCUGUCCCCAGACCUCCAUGUGGCAGAGGCCGAUGGGGAGGCCAAGUCACGUCCACAUCCCUACAUUCUCCGCAUAAUUCUGCUCCGCUUUGGGCCUCCCCAGCUGCGAUGUCAGUGCACUUUGGAGGAGGGCCUCGUGUCAAGUCGCCUCUGAUUUGAACUAAGAGAGAAACAACACAGGCUGGUUUAGAGUUUGAUGACUUUGAAAGGCAGAGGAAGACAAUUAGCUCUCACUUAAGCCAAGGUUUGUUUAUUUCACUUAGCUUAAGCCAAAUCUAAUGGUUUUCCGAAUUUAGGGAGGGCCUGUACUUGAGCCAUUCACAGAGAGAUACAUUCCUCUCUCCAAAUGCAGGGUUUUCUCCACUCUGGCUUUACAAGGCCUCCUCUUUCAGGCAGAGUUGCUGCUUGGGUAUUGAUGGCCACGCUGCCUUUAUCCGUCUCCAUUGCAUUUCCUUGCCGAAUGCACUUAGACUUUCAAUCACCUGACUGCAGUACAAUUGAUUUUUUAAAAAUUGACCACACAUUUUGAUCACCUGAAAUACACACUGUGGAAGGAAGUAUUUUCGCAGUUCACAAAAGCUACAGUCUACUUGGUACAUGGAUUGCGGAUGUGUACUGGGCACCACUGUUUUCAGAAAGUUACUCUUUUUUUUUCCCACUAGUGUUUGUGAUUUUUAAAACUUGUAAAUGAAUUUUCUUGAAUUAUAUAUUUUUAUUUCCUGUAAAAUUAUGUAUUAUUAAAGGCCAAUUUUAGUGGUUUAA
rnacentral:lncRNA from 1 species